GGAGUCUGACCAGUGCCCACAGCAUGAUCUUUGGGAACGGACGAGGCCUGCCCGCGACUCCCUAUGUUUAAGCCCCCAGCCUGGGACCGGCUAAGUGCCGGAGCUCUUCGCCCGCGAGGAGAGCCGGCGGCGAAGUUGGCCCGAGGAGCCCCACGCCCUCCCCCUCUCCUCCUCCAGACGCACUAGGGGGUGGCGGGUGGAAGGGGUUUCCCUAGUCUGCCCUGGGAUUGCCCAAGUGCGCACGUUCCCAUCCUCGCCUUUUCAUUCGGCCGUAGUUUCACCAGCUGCCUUCCUCGUGAGCUGCCAGCUUGGCGAACCCGUUGGUAACACAAGGAAGCUCUUUCUGGAUGCUUGACUGGUCUCCAGGACAGUCAUAAUGAGACAGGAUACUGCAUAAGCCAAGACCACACAAAGGAGUGAGGGUACACCCUAAGGGUGGUUAUUGCGAUGAAGCUGUGAUAUACGCACUGAAAGAAUGUGAUGCUCAUCAUAUUGGUAUGGCCAAAACACAUGGGUAUGAAGGUCUCUUGGGAGAAGCCAUCCAGGACAGUGCCAUGAAAUGUGAGGAUCUCUGAAUCAUCACAAAAUUUUAGCUCAGUAACUAUGGCUUUGAAAACACUGUACAGUCCUGUCUGAAAUCCUGUGGCUUGGAGUACAUAGGUGUGCACUGUAGACAUCAUUGGUCAUUAUCAUCUUCUUAGAGAUUCAACCAUUCUUUUAUGUAUUUCUGGAGGAUUAAAUAAUUUUGGAUGUAGUGUGACUCU